UACGUAGGGUGCAAGCGUUGUCCGGAUUUAUUGGGCGUAAAGAGCUCGUAGGCGGCUUGUUGCGUCAGCUGUGAAAACCCGCAGCUCAACUGUGGGCUUGCAGCUGAUACGGGCAGGCUUGAGUUCGGUAGGGGAGACUGGAAUUCCUGGUGUAGCGGUGAAAUGCGCAGAUAUCGGAAGGAACAUCAGUGGCGAAAGCG
rnacentral:rRNA from 1 species